UACGAAGGGUGCAAACGUUGCUCGGAAUUAUUGGGCGUAAAGCGCACGUAGGCGGCUUGUCACGUCGGGUGUGAAAGCCCGGGGCUUAACCCCGGGUCUGCAUUCGAUACGGGCUAGCUAGAGUGUGGUAGGGGAGAUCGGAAUUCCUGGUGUAGCGGUGAAAUGCGCAGAUAUCAGGAGGAACACCGGUGGCGAAGGCGGAUCUCUGGGCCAUUACUGACGCUGAGGAGCGAAAGCGUGGGGAGCGAACAGG
rnacentral:rRNA from 1 species